CCUUGCUUAGGGUGACCCUAUAAAAGAAUACUAUAGGCCCCAACACCACUUAAUUGAGAGGUCAUAUCACUCUAGUUUUAACUCUGCAGCUGAAACAUUUUCCUGUCCUUUCGCUGGAAUAGCAAAGUGAAACCCGACUAUUUCAAUCAGACGGUCUCAUGCAUUUUGCCGCUCAUGCGUAUUGUCCUGUCAAUGCUUUCCUAUAGACGAUCUCUGCUAAUCUCAGCCACAGGGGUGUUGUCUCCCCGCGGAGACUGGCGCAGCGAAAGCUCAACGCUCC